rnacentral:tRNA from 1 species
GGCCACAUAGCUCAGCGAUUAGAGCAACCGGCUGUUAACCGGUAGGUCGUAGGUUUGAAUCCUUCUGUGGCCGCCA